UACAGUGCAAGGUGCUAAACCAUGACCGUCUGCUGAAAAAGUGGGAUCGGGCCAUGACGCUGGUACUCAUCAUCAUCAUCAUCUCCAAAAGUACAAGGAGACAUGGGCUCUUGGUACAACUGGGCUUGUAAAUCCCUUUGCUUUGGGGACUGCGGUGCAUUGGCCACGUUUGAAACCUGAUCUGCUCGACCACUCGGAAAGGGAAACACUGGAGGGAUUGUGUUGUCGAAGGCUUUCAUGGCCGGAAUCCUUGGGCUGUCUGGCCACGUUCUAGAAGCAUUCUCUCCUGACAUUUCACCCACAUCUAUGGCAGGCAUCCUCAGAGGUUGUGAGGAGGAAGAACAAACAGUGCGGAAACUGUAUCAGCACCAGGCAGGUGAAGGCUUGCCCGUUUCCAGGGCAGCCGUGUGUCAUGUAUCACGGCCAGGCUUUGUCUGGACCCCGAUAUCCCGGGAACGCCACCGGUUGAGCAAACAACGGCGCCUGCCAAGCCUCCUGACAUCCAUAAGCCGAGACCCAGGUAAAGGGGGCGGCCGUGUGGUGUUGUUUCCUGUUGCCCAGGUUACCUCCGGUGCCUUGCUGCCUCUCUGACAUAAAUUCUUUAUGAAGAAGAGGACAACUGUUUUCUUUCCCCUUUUUGUUGCUCUUGUGCGUACGGCCUAUUUUUAUCCCCCCGACAAUAGAAUAAGCCAAUGAUGGUCAACCUUUUGCGCUUGGUGUGUCAAAAUUCACCAAAAAACCUAGCAUGACUUGGGUGGUGUGUCACUUUGAGAAAAAAAACCAUAAUUUCACAAUAUGUAUAGUUUAAAUAACAAAAAUAUAUAAUUGUAAUAUACAACUGUAUUUAAUAAAUCAUAACUAUUUACUACCAUUAUUUCCAUGUACAACAAUCUUUGGUACCUCUUGCAGUUUCCACACUGAUUUUUCUCUAUUCUAGUUUCAAUGUAGUCACAAAUAAUGAAUAAUAUAAUAGUAAUAAUAUGAUAAUAUACUACAAUAAUAGAAUAAUCAUAGAACGAUUAUAUAUGUAACUAGCUGUGCCCGGCCACGCGUUGCUGUGGCGUUGUCUGGUGGUGUUGGUGAGAAAUUGUUGAGGUAGUGGUGGUAUUGAAUGUCUGUUGUAUGGUAGUCUUUAUGUUUACUAUGCACACUGAAGUGGAUUAUAUGGCAGUGUGGAGUCAAGAUAAUCCAGUUCAAAGCAGAUAAUAUAAUAUUAUAAAUGGGUUAUACAGCUGUGUGGAAGGGCCUUGAGUCUACACUGCCAUAUAAUCCAGUGCAAAUUAGAUAAUCUGUGGAAGAGGCCUAAGUGAGGCCUAACUGUGCCUGUCCCCUGGGCUGAGUAGGUUGCUAAGAGACCAAGUGGGCGGAGCUUAGCCUUCUAACUGGCAGCAAUUGGAUAAAAACUAUUAUUCCUUUCCCUUUAAUUAGGACUUUAUUUUUCUUUUCUUUUUGUUGUAUCAACCUAGAGCCGUGAAUGAUGGGUUGUGUUGUCAAAUUUCGAGGUUGGGGGGCCUGUAGUUUUGUUGUUUUGCCCGGUGCCCUGAUGCCAUCACUAUUUUAUAUAUAUAGACUAGCUGUGCCCGGCCACGCGUUGCUGUGGCGUAUGGGAAUUCUUUGUUAGGUAGGUGGAAUAACAGUGAAUAGCUUUUUAGCCUGAAAGCCUGGCCAUUUUCUUAUGUGAAUCCUUGUUUGGUGAGGUGGAAUAGAAAGGAAUAGGCUUGCUGCUUGGAAGGUUAGGUAGUUGCCUUUUAGGGGAAUGUCUUUUUGGGGUGGUAGAAUUGUAAUGAAUAGCCUCGGUGGUUCAAAGCCUGGGUGCUUGCUACCUAGGGGAAAUCUUUGAGCGAGCUGAUCCUGGGCAGCCAUGCUGUCCCGAAAAAUACUUUGAGUUCCGCACGCAUGUGUACAUUGCCUGUUGUGGGUUUUGGCCUUUUUUUGGUGUUGUGAUUGUGUUUUUUGUGUGAUUGUGUUGUAUCUUACUGGAGGCAUGGAUGAUGGAUUGUGUUGCCAAUUUUAGAGUUUGGGGGGUGUUGGGUUUUGUUGUUUUGUGAGUCACCGUGAUGCCAAAAGCCUUUUAUAUAUAUAGAUUACUAAAAAUGAUAUAGAAAUAUUUUAUUACAAAAUUGAGGACGGGGGUCAGGCAAAUGACCUUGGAGGGCGGCAUCCGGACCCCAGGCUGGAUCCUGAAGGGUGAUCCUGAAGGGCUGGGUGUU